rnacentral:rRNA from 1 species
AUUGAACGCUGGCGGCAGGCCUUACACAUGCAAGUCGAGCGGAUGAAGGGAGCUUGCUCCUGGAUUCAGCGGCGGACGGGUGAGUAAUGCCUAGGAAUCUGCCUGGUAGUGGGGGAUAACGUCCGGAAACGGGCGCUAAUACCGCAUACGUCCUGAGGGAGAAAGUGGGGGAUCUUCGGACCUCACGCUAUCAGAUGAGCCUAGGUCGGAUUAGCUAGUUGGUGGGGUAAAGGCCUACCAAGGCGACGAUCCGUAACUGGUCUGAGAGGAUGAUCAGUCACACUGGAACUGAGACACGGUCCAGACUCCUACGGGAGGCAGCAGUGGGGAAUUUUGGACAAUGGGCGAAAGCCUGAUCCAGCCAUGCCGCGUGUGUGAAGAAGGUCUUCGGAUUGUAAAGCACUUUAAGUUGGGAGGAAGGGCAGUAAGUUAAUACCUUGCUGUUUUGACGUUACCAUCAGAAUAAGCACCGGCUAACUUCGUG